ACUCCUACGGGAGGCAGCAGUGGGGAAUUUUCCGCAAUGGGCGAAAACCUGACAGAGCAAGACCGCAUGAGGGAAGAAGGCCUAUUGGUUGUAAACCUCUUUUCUCGGGGAAGAAAAAAAUGACGGUACCCGAGGAAUAAGCCUCGGCUAACUCCGUGCCAGCAGCCGCGGUAAUACA
rnacentral:rRNA from 1 species